rnacentral:lncRNA from 1 species
UCAGAAACAAUCGAUACAGGCACUCCAUGCAGUCUCACAAUCUCAGUUAAAUACAACUCUGCCCACUUACUAGCAGUAUAAGUGGAUUUUCCUGGUACAAAAUGUGCCGAUUUCGUAAGCCUGUCUAUGACAACCAAAAUCACUGUGAAACCCUUCAGGGUCUUAGGCAGCCCUGAAAUAAAAUCCAUCGACACAUUCUCCCACUUCCACUCUGGCACACUUAAGGUUGUAACAAACCUGCUGGUUUCUGUCUAGGUGCCUUAACUUGCUGACAUACUAGACACUUACUAACAAAUUCCGCCACUUCCCUUUUCAUAUUCCGCCACCAAUAAAAUCGUUUUAGAUCCUGAUACAUUUUCGUGCUACCAGGAUGCAUGGAAAAUGGGAAUUAUGGGCUUCAUCUAGUAAGUCAAUCUUAACUGUACUGUUCGCUGGCACACAUAAACGUCUCUCAAACAUCAACCCACCAUCAGAGGAUAUGGAGAACUCAUCAGUCUGCCCUGUUUCAACAAGGCGACGUCUCUCCAUCAAAUAAGGAUCAUUACUCUGAGCAUCAACAAUCUUCUGCCUCAGAGUCGGUUGCACCGUUAAUUGAGCUAGCUGUGAGGUGACUCUCCCCACAGACACUGCAAUCUCAGCUCUCUCCAAGUCUCGAUGCAAUGGUACCUGUCUAGUAAUGAGUGCUGCCGAAUGUGAUACUUUUCUACUAAGAGCAUCAGCCACCACAUUCGCCUUACCAGGAUGGUACAAUAUCUCACAGUCAUAAUCUUUUACCAACUCGAGCCACCUUCGCUGUCUCAUAUUCAACUCCUUCUGAGUGAAGAAGUACUUUAGGCUCUUAUGGUCAGUAAAGAUUUGUAUCUUUUCACCGUACAAGUAAUGUCUCCAUAUCUUCAAUGCAAAAACCACUGCUGCCAACUCCAAAUCAUGUGUGGGGUAGUUCUGCUCGUGACUCUUCAACUGACGAGAGGCAUAAGCAACCACCUUACCUUUCUGCAUCAAAACACAACCCAGUCCUUUCUUGGAAGCAUCACUGUAAAUCACAAAACUUCCAGAUCCAUCUGGUACAGUAAGGACCGGUGCAGUAACUAACCUUUGCUUAAGGUUCUGAAAACUAUCCUCACAAGCUGGACUCCAAACAAACGGAGUUCCCUUCCUUGUCAACUGAGUCAAGGAGUAGCCAAACGUGAAAAAUCCUCCACAAACCUCCGGUAGUACCCUGCUAAACCCAGAAAACUACGAACCUCACUAACUGUAGAGGGUCGAGACCAACUGGUAACCGCUUCUAUCUUUGCAGGGUCUACUGAAACUCCCUCACUGGAAACCACAUGACCAAGAAAAGCCACCUGCUUCAACCAAAAUUCGCACUUAGAGAACUUAGCAUACAGUUUAUUGACUCGAAGAGUCUCUAACACCUUAUGUAAGUGUUCCUCAUGUUCGGCUUCAGUCUUGGAAUAAACCAAAAUAUCAUCAAUGAAGACUAUCACAAAAGUGUCCAAGAAAUCCUUAAACACCCUGUUCAUCAAAUCCAUAAAUACAGCAGGUGCAUUAGUCAAACCAAAAGACAUUACUAUGAAUUCAUAAUGUCCAUACCUCGAACGAAAAGCAGUCUUAGGAAUAUCACGGUCUCUAAUCCUCAACUGGUGAUAACCUGACCGUAAGUCAAUCUUAGAGAACACCGUGGCUCCCUGUAACUGAUCGAACAAAUCAUCGAUUCUGGGUAAAGGAUAUCUGUUCUUGACUGUUACUUUAUUCAACUCUCUAUAGUCAAUGCAAAGACGCAUCGACCCAUCCUUCUUCUUCACAAACAAUACUGGUGCACCCCAAGGUGACACACUAGGUCGAAUAAAGCCUUUGUCAAGCAAUUCCUGUAACUGUACCUUCAGUUCUUUCAACUCAGCAGGAGCCAUCCUAUAAGGGGCUCUAGAAAUAGGAGUAGUGUUUGGCUCCAACUCAAUGGCAAAAUCAACCUCUCUAUGUGGCGGUAGUCCUGGAAGAUCUUUUGGAAAUACAUCUGGGUAUUCUCUUACCACAGGUUCUGAAGUUAAAGAAGUCUCACCUUCCCUAGUAUCCACCACACUUGCCAAAAUACUCCAAGUACCCUGGUUGAGUAGUUUACUAGCUUUCAUAGCUGAGAUUACUUUAGGCAGUACUACUGUUCCUACCCCUUGAAUUUAAAGCUAGAUGCAGUAGGGGGACUGAACACAACUUCCUUACGAGAACAAUCAAUACUAGCAUGAUUAGUAGCUAGCCAAUCCAUACCUAAAUUACAUCAAAGUCACGCAUAUCUAAUACCAACAAGGUUACGUCCAGCACACGACCAGCUAUCUCAAUUUCACAUGCUUUAAUCUUUUCCUUAGACAACAUAAUUUCUCCAGACGGUGUAGACACUGACAAAACAUAGUCUAAGGGUUCCACCUCUAAGCAUGCAUGCGUCACAAAAAGCGAUGAAAUAAAUGAAUGAGAAGAUCCCGAGUCAAACAAGGUCAAGGCAAAAUGCCCUAACACUGGUAAUGUACCUGUCACUACUGUGCCGGCCUUCUCUGCCUCUGAUCUAUUAGUGGCAAAGAUUGUACCCCGCUGUGGAGGUCUCUCUCCCUGACUGCUCGAUCCAGCCCCAGUAGAUCUCAAGGGACACCUAUCAGCCAUGUGUCCCUCUUGCUUGCACUUAUAACAGACUCUCGUUCCCAUCAAACAACGACCCAGGUGGCGUUUCCCACACGUAUUACAUACUGGCCUCUCUGAGUAGUGUCUCCUGCACCGCCAGAACUCUGCUGGAAACUGCGAAAAGGAAUCGCCUGGUCUCAAGUUCCUCUGAGGAACUCCUACAGUUCUCUGCUCUACUUUUCUCUUUUGACCCGACGACGAUCCCUUAUAAAGCUCCUUGGCUGUAUUUCAUCCUUCCCAACUCAUAUCCACUGCCAGACGCAGUGCUUCAGCUUGGGUAGUGGGCUUUAGUGCUCGCACAAACCCCUAAUUUCAUCUCUCAAUCCCUUGACGAACCUAUCAGCUCUAGCCUGCUCAUUACUAACAAGCUCAGGGGCAAAACGUGACAGCAUAUCAAACUCCUGGUCGUACUCCUCGACUGUCAUAUAUCCUUGCUUCAACUCCAAGAAUUCCUGGCUUUUGGCGUCUCUAAGGUUAGCCGAGAAAAACUUGGUAUAGAAGCAGUCCUUAAACUGAUCCCAGGUAAUUUGCCUCACAUCUCCACCUAGCAUGCGCAUUGUAGUCCUCCACCAGAUAAUGCCUCUGUCCCUCAGUAGAAAAGCAGCACACUGAACUCUGUGCUCCUCGACAUCUCAUGUAAUUAAAUAUGGUUUCCACAGAGGACAACCACAUUUCAGCUUUAGUAGGAUCCUCCAGUGACCCAUCAAACGUCUGAGGGUCAUACUUCCGAAAGUCCCUCAAAUGUUUCGCCUCAGCAGAAAGUUGGUUGGUAAUUCUUGUGCAGGAGGGGCUGCUGGUGCGGGAACUACAGGUGCAGUGGAACCGCAGGUGCCUGCUGGUUUUGAGCUAUAGCUGUCAUAAGUUCUGUAAACCUCUGCUCCAUGUGAGCAGACAGUGCAUCAAACUCAACGUGAGUCACGGGUGCAGCAGGAAUUCGCUGUUCAGCUUGACCCUCAGUAGGCUGAUUACGACCUGCUCCUCUACCUCGGCCUCCUACUCCUCUACCUCGGCCUCUACGACCUCCUCUACGUACCUUCCCUUGGCGGCAUAAUUCCUAUUAUCCACCAACAACACUCUUUAACAAAAUCUUAAUCAUAACAUAAGCAAGUCUUUAUCGUCAUGCAAUCUAGUUUAAUUUAGGCAAGGUCAUGCAAAUAAACCAUACAUAUAAGCAUCAAGCAUACCUGACGAGAGACGAAGGGUCGCGUUAGCCAUAGGAAACAAAAACAUAGACUUACAUCGUAAGUCAGUCUACAGAACCUAAAACUUAGGCUCUGAUACCAACUGUAACGACCCAACUUUUCUAAGUAAGUCGAGGUCGUUAUUAGUUUUUUACAAAUAAAAGACUUUGAUUAAUAUAAAACAAAACGUAAGCAAUUUAAAAAAAACAUCUUCAAGUCAGGCCUGAUUUUUAAACAUUCAAGAAAACAUAAAAUAAUACUAUUUACAACAAACGUUUGUAAACUAAAUUUCAAUUCAUUUUAAACCUCACAAGAACAUAAGGGAAGCAAAAACACGUUUCCUAUGGCAUCACGCUUCCUUCCUCCCCUCGCCUGUUUGCCGCCUUUAUUACCUUUGCCUGAAAAUUAAACAUAAGAAGGGUGAGUAUUUAAAUACUCAGUAAGAGACCCUCUACUGGUCUCGUCAGGGGAAAAUAAAUUGUUAAAGUUCUAUUGGGACACCCUGUACAGUCGCAGUCUUGUGAUCCCGUAGGAUACACAUCUCAGUCUAACGCCGAGGGACGUACAUAUCAGUCUAGUGUUCUGUAGAAACACAUAUCAGUCAAAUGCUCCCGAAGGUGCACAAUAAAUUGGUGAUCCCGUGGGACACCUACCAGGUAAACAUCCCAAUACAAUCUAACAAUUUUCCCCUCAUUCUAUUCAACCCAUCUUUCAGUUACUUCAAGUCACAAAGUUCUUUCUUUCAACAUCCUAACAGUCAACUUAUUUUACUACAGUCAUAUGUCUGUCAAUAAUAUGCUAAUACAUCAGUCAAUCCACUAUACAGUCAAUGCACCCCUUAGUUCACCAGCACACAGUCAUACUUUAGCGUAAUCAUACACCCAAUCUAAACGAGAAUCUCAUACAAACACAAUCUACAAUCUCCGUCCUGUCCACAUACCCACAUUUAUACAUAGAUUCCAUGACAAUCACGACAUACAUUCAACGUCAAGUCUACUUCAAUUCAUAUAUAUUUUCAGUCAACCCACAGUAUACAUUCAACACACAUACAGUUCACAAUCACAGUUCACAAUCACAAUUGAGUCCAGUAGAAAAUCCUUACCUCGAUUUUAUGUAAAAUUUCUUGGUCGAACUAAUUCCAACAAACAAACCCCAAAGAGUAAAGAAUCGAAUUCCAACAAAGCUUAAGGCGUAACUCAAGGACACUAACUCCAAAUAACCGAUGUCGCCUUCAAGAACAAACAUCAAUUCAACCAAUUAAACAAACAUCACAUCUUAAUGUAUUUACAAAUGUAAAACCUUAUUACCCAACAAUCUCAUCCUUACCAAUAACUUAUAACAAGACUUUGACAAUCGACGUUAAAAUAGAAGUUGCCGCAGCAGGAUCUACACAAAAGAAAUCGUGCAAACAAAUCUGCACGCGAAUCGGUCCACAAUUCGUAAAUGGACAGCGGGUAUCGACGAAGGCAGAAUGGUUCGGACGUUCAACAGCAGUUACGCGCAGACGGGAGUAGCCCGGUAACGUAGCCGAACUCGUGCGAUGCGGCGUGACCUGCGUCGGCGAGGCUGUUUGUGACUGAGGCGUGCGAUUUGCCUCGCGAACGGAGAUAGAGACGGCGGCUGGAUUGGCUUAGACGGAGACAGGUGUUGCGCGGCAAAACUGGGCAGAGGCGGAAGAGCAACGACAGUUACAGGUGGAUGGGCGUGGCGGUUUCGAUCCGAAGGAGAAAGAAAACGACCGGAAAGAAAAUAAGGGCGGCGGUUUCUGGGCUGCGACGCAGAUCUGGAUCAGACAGUUACGCGGCGGCUGCUGCAAGGCUGCUUCGCGAACGGAGAUGGAGAACGGAGUGGAGAAGAUGGAUACGGGUCGCGGUCGCACGGGGAAGAAGAUGGGAGAAAAGAAAAGAAAAAGAAAAGAAGAAAAGAAGAGAAAAAAAAUAAAGAAAUUUUUUAAUAUUAAAAUAAAAGUAAUAUAUAUAUAUAUAUAUAUAUAUUAUAUAUAUAUUAUAUAUAUAUUUACCUUUUCUUUGGGCAUUACAUAAUAUUACUUUAAUAGAAUUUAAUCCAUAUUUUCAUAGAAUAUUUAAUAAAUGAAAAUCUUAAACGUGGUUCACUUUUCUUUUUAUUUUUAAUAUAUUAUUAAUAAUAAAAAGAGUAAAUUGGUCAUUUUUACUCUAUAUUUGUAUAAAAUAUUAGUCAAUUUAUGAUAUUUUUGAAAAUUUUAAAAAAUUUAUUGCAAUUAAUUUGUAACAUGGUAUACAAUUUGAGUACACUUAGAUAAAAAUUCAAAGAAAAAAAAAUAAUUUCACAUUAUAUAAGAUCAAGUCUAAACGGUAUAAAUUGAACCGCUUGUUAAAACCGAAUCAAACCACACCAUUUAUGUACAAACAAAAAACACAGUUUGUUGCUGUCUCAAAUAGUCCAAACCGAAUUUAAAUGGUUCGGUCUAUUUCAGCUUCAGUCUUCUGGAAUUCAAGGAAAUUUUGAUCUUCCAAGUCUUCAAUAUUUCAGAAGACGAUGAUCUCGAAGUUGAUAAAAACUUGCACGUCUUGAGAGCUCUAUAGAAGUUUGAAUCUUCAAUUCUUCAAAGCUUCAGUACUUCAGAGCUUCAUUUCUUCCUUCAACAAAAGAUCUCUCGAAUGAAUGACAAAGGUCUACUUAUAGAGAAAAUUUGUGGACUUUAUGUGGGCUUUGGACCCAUUUUCUUGUUGAGUUGUUGAGCUUGGACUUGGGCUUGGGCCCAUUUUCUUAGUGGGCUUAGGCCCCUUUGUUUGGCCUGAUUUUUUAUCAGGGGCUUGAAUUGGGUUGGAAAACUUGACUACCCAAUCCAAUCAAAUUAUAAUCAUCACAACUUGGGUGCGACGACGUGGUGUAAUUUCAUUGGUUGAAAUUUCUUGCUCAACAAUUACAUUUAUACUACUCCAUAAUACAUAUAUAUUAUGUGAUUUGUUUACAUAUAUACUACCUCAUUAUGUAAUAUUGCUUAGAGAUAUAUACAAUCAGACAUAUAUAGUGACAUACAGUAAUCGAAAAUAUUUUUCAAUUCAAUCUGUUCUUUAUUUUUUUGUUUAUCUUAUAGUAAUAUUAUGUUGUUAGUCAUAUAAACAUUUAUAUCUUAAGUAUGUUGUAACAACAUGUAGUAAACUAUAUAUUCAUUUAUAAUUAAUAUUUUAAAAUAUAUAUUUAUAUAGUAAAUACUACUAAAACAGUAAAAUACACAUUCUUAGUGUAUAUAUAUAUAUGCAGUGAGAAUAUCAUACAUACAUAUUCUCACUUCGUAUAAUUAUAUACCUUCUAUUUGUCAUAUAUUUUUUAAAUGAACAAUAUAUACUAUAAUAUACUCGUAAAUUAUAAUAUGUUUAUGAUGUGAUUUAAUAUAUAGAUACACCUUAUUUACAACAUAAAUAUUUAGUGACAUAUAGUUCUACAUAAUUUAUAGUUGAAUUUCAAUAUAUAUCUGUAACGACCCAACUUUUAUAGGUAAGUCGAGGUCAUUAAUUUUUAACAAAAGACUUUGGUUGAUACAAAAUGAAACGUAAGUCAAUUUAAAAACAAUUUAUGUAAGGCCUGAUUUUCAAAUAUUCAAGAAAACUUAAAAAUAACACUAUUUACAAAUAAAAGUUUGUAAACUAAGUUUUAGUACAUCUUAAACCUCAAAAGAAACCAUAAGCGGAAGCAAAAUGACACAUUUCCUAUGGCAAUCACGCUUCCUUCCUGCCCCUCGCCGGUUUGCCACCUUUAUUUCCUUUGCCUGAAAAUUAAACAUAAGAAGGGUGAGUAUAACAAUACUCAGUAAGAGACCCUCUACUGGUCUCGUCAGGGGAAAAUAAAUUGUUAAAGUUCUAUUGGGACACCCUGUACAGUCGCAGUCUUGUGAUCCCGUAGGAUACACAUCUCAGUCUAACGCCCCGAGGAACGUACAUAUCAGUCUAACGCCCGAGGGACGUACAUAUCAGUCUAGUGUUCUGCAGAAACACAUAUCAGUCAAAUGCUCCCGAAGGUGCAAAAUAAAUUGGUGAUCCGUGGGACACCUACAAGGUAAACAUCCCAAUACAAUCUAACAAUUUAUCCCUCAUUCCAUUCAAUCCAUCUUUCAGUUACUUCAAAACAUAAAGUUCUUUCUCUCAACGUCCUAACAGUCAACUUAACUCACUUUAGUCAUAUGUCUGUCAAUAAUAUACUAAUACGUCAGUCAAUCAAACUAUACAGUCAAUACACCCCUCAGUUCACCAGCACAAACCACAGUUCAGUAUAAUCCACAUCCAACCGAAACAAAUUCACUAGUUCACAUCCAAAUCUUUAUACAACACAAUCUAUUAAUAUCAUCAUGUACACAUAAGCAUAAUUUCAGUCAUUCACAUGUAUACUUUCGGCAAUCCACAUCAAUUCACACAACAAUGUAUAUAUAUAUGUUUCCAGUCAAAUACAACAUACACUAAACAUUUAGUCUGCAACCAAACAUGUACAUCUUAAUCAUCAUCCAUACAGUCCAACACAACUCAAAAACUUUAGGUGAGUCCAGUAGAAAGUCCCUUACCUCAAAGUUGGGGAAGCUCCUUAAUCAACUAACGUCCUCGAAACAAUCCUAAGCACAACAACACAAAAUUCAAUUACUUUCACGAUACAUAUCUCACUUACUUUCCUCAACGUAAGUUCCAACUCACCGAUAUAUUGGCAAACUGAACCCUCAACAAUUCACAAAUUGGUUGUGAAUUUAAGUGAUCCAAAGUUACCUUUCACACCUUCAAGAAUAAUUUAUCAAAUUAGUCAAUUAACCCAUCCGUAACGUUUGAACACCUUGAAAACAUCACAACCCAUACUUAAAUUGUUUUGUAAACGACUACAAUUUCAUAACUUCAAUCUUACCAACAAAACUUCGACAGAGACAGAGACGAUUAGGAUGGGGCACGGCGACGCAGAUCUGGGUAACGGCGCAGAGACAGAGGUCGCGCGGCGGUGCUGGGCAGAGGUCACGCGGCGGCUGACGGUUGCAGCGGCAGUUUUUGGAUCGAAGAGAAAAAAAGGGUGGCGGUUGGGUUCGACUUCGGUGAACGGAGACAGAAACAGACGAAACCGGUGGACGGCUCGAUCUAGCGGUGCAGAUCUGGACAGAGGGUCACACGGCGGUGGGCGGAAGGUCACGCGGCGGCCUUGCUUCGCAACAGAGACGGCGGCCGACGGUUGCAGCGGCGGUUUGGCUUGGCCUGACCGUCGACGUCGAACGAAAGAGGAAGAAAGAAAAGAAGGGGUGGUUGGACUGCGGCUGCGCACGAACGGAAAGAGAAUAGAUGGGGCGGCGGUUGCUGCGAACGGGAAGGAGAACGCACGGGGAGGAAGGAGAAGAGAGAAAAGAAAAGAAAAAGAAAAGAAAAGAAAUAUAUAUAUAUAUAUAUAUAUAAAUUAAAAAAAAUGUAUAUAUAUAUAUAUUUUUUACCUUUGGGACUUUACAUUCUUCCCCCCUUAAGAAACUUUCGUCCUCGAAAGUUCUAAUCCUGAAAUAACUCUGGAUAACGAGUCCUCAUCUCUUCUUCUCGCUCCCAUGUCGCUUCUUCAAUUCGAUGAUUCUGCCACAAAACUUUACUAAUGGAAUGCUUCUAUUACGAAGCAUCUUUACCUCUCUAGCCAGAAUCUCCACAGGUUGUUCUACAUAGCUCAAAUGCUCAUCAAUCUCCAAGGGUUCAUAGUCUACUACAUGAGAUGUAUCCACACAUACUUCCUCAACAUCGAAACAUGGAAAAUAUUAUGAACUGCAGAGAGAGAUGGUGGUAAUGCCAAGCGAUACGCCACAACACCAACCCUCUCUAAGAUCUCAAAUGGUCCAACAAAACGAGGACUUAACUUUCCUUUCUUCUCAAAACGCAUAACACCCUUCAUAGGUGCUACCUUCAAGAAUACCUUUUCUCCCACAUCGAACUUAAGGUCUUUUCGCUGUACAUCCGCAUAACUCUUCUGUCGACUCUGCGCUGUUUGCAUAAGUGCUCUAAUAUUUUGAAUAGCCUCAUUAGUAGACCGAACUAAUUCAGGUCCCAUCAAUCUAUGUUCACCAACCUCACUCCAACAAACAGGGGUUCUACAACAUUUGCCAUACAAAGCCUCAAAUGGUGCCAUACCGAUGGUAGCCUGAAAACUGUUGUUAUAAGCAAACUCCAUCAAAUGUAGAUGAAAGUCCCAACUACCUAGAAACUCUAUAACACAAGCUCGUAGCAUAUCCUCUAAAACUUGGUUCAAACGUUCAGUUUGACCAUCAGUCUGUGGAUGAAAAGCUGUACUGAAAUCCAACCUCGUACCCAUAGCAGUCUGAAGUCCCUUCCAAAACUUGGAAGUAAACCGUGCAUCCCUAUCAGAAACAAUCGAUACAGGCACUCCAUGCAGUCUCACAAUCUCAGUUAAAUACAACUCUGCCCACUUACUAGCAGUAUAAGUGGAUUUCCCUGGUACAAAAUGUGCCGAUUUCGUAAGUCUGUCUAUGACAACCAAAAUCACUGUGAAACCCUUCAGGGUCUUAGGCAGCCCUGAAAUAAAAUCCAUCGACACAUUCUCCCACUUCCACUCUGGCACACUUAAGGGUUGUAACAAACCUGCUGGUUUCUGUCUAGGUGCCUUAACUUGCUGACAUACUAGACACUAACUAACAAAUUCCGCCACUUCCUUUUCAUAUUCCGCCACCAAUAAAAUCGUUUUAGAUCCUGAUACAUUUUCGUGCUACCAGGAUGCAUUGGAAAUGGGGAAUUAUGGGCUUCAUCUAGUAAGUCAAUCUUAACUGUACUGUUCGCUGGCACACACAAACGUCUUUCAAACAUCAACCCACCAUCAGAGGAUAUGGAGAACUCAUCAGUCUGCCCUGUUUCAACAAGGCGACAUCUCUCCAUCAAAUAAGGAUGACUACUCUGAGCAUCAACAAUCUUCUGCCUUAGAGUCGGUUGCACCGUUAAUUGAGCCAACUGUGAGGUGACUCUCCCCACAGACACUGCAAUCUCAGCUCUCUCCAAGUCUCGAUGCAAUGGUACCUGUCUAGUAAUGAGUGCUGCCGAAUGUGAUACUUUUCUACUAAGAGCAUCAGCCACCACAUUCGCCUUACCAGGAUGGUACAAUAUCUCACAGUCAUAAUCUUUUACCAACUCGAGCCACCUUCGUUGUCUCAUAUUCAACUCCUUCUAAGUGAAGAAGUACUUUAGGCUCUUAUGGUCAGUAAAGAUUUGUAUCUUUUCACCGUACAAGUAAUGUCUCCAUAUCUUCAAUGCAAAAACCACUGCUGCCAACUCCAAAUCAUGUAUGGGGUAGUUCUGCUCGUGACUCUUCAACUGACGAGAGGCAUAAGCAACCACCUUACCUUUCUGCAUCAUAACACAACCCAGUCCUUUCUUGGAAGCAUCACUGUAAAUCACAAAACUUCCAGAUCCAUCUGGUACAGUAAGGACCGGUGCAGUAACUAACCUUUGCUUUAAGUUCUGAAAACUGUCCUCGCAAGCUGGACUCCAAACAAACGGAGUUCCCUUCCUUGUCAACUGAGUCAAAGGAGUAGCCAAACAUGAAAAAUCCUCCACAAACCUCCGGUAGUACCCUGCUAAACCCAGAAAACUACGAACCUCACCAACUGUAGAGGGUCGAGACCAACUGGUAACCGCUUCUAUCUUUGCAGGGUCUACUGAAACUCCCUCACUGGAAACCACAUGACCAAGAAAAGUGUCUAAGAAAUCCUUAAACACCCUGUUCAUCAAAUCCAUAAAUACAGCAGGUGCAUUAGUCAAACCAAAAGACAUUACUAUGAAUUCAUAAUGUCCAUACCUCGAACGAAAAGCAGUCUUAGGAAUAUCACGGUCUCUAAUCCUCAACUGGUGAUAACCUGACCAUAAUUCAAUCUUAGAGAACACUGUGGCUCCCUGUAACUGAUCGAACAAAUCAUCGAUUCUGGGUAAAGGAUAUCUGUUCUUGACUGUUACUUUAUUCAACUCUCUAUAGUCAAUGCAAAGACGCAUCGACCCAUCCUUCUUCUUCACAAACAAUACUGGUGCACACCAAGAUGACACACUAGGUCGAAUAAAGCCUUUGUCAAGCAAUUCCUGUAACUGUACCUUCAAUUCUUUCAACUCAGCAGGAGCCAUCCUAUAAGGGGCUCUAGAAAUAGGAGUAGUGUUUGGCUCCAACUCAAUGGCAAAAUCAACCUCUCUAUGUGGCGGUAGUCCUGGAAGAUCUUUUGGAAACACAUCUGGGUAUUCUCUUACCACAGGUUCUGAAGUUAAAGAAGUCUCACCUUCCCUAGUAUCCACCACACUUGCCAAAAUACUCCAAGUACCCUGGUUGAGUAGUUUACUAGCUUUCAUAGCUGAGAUUACUUUAGGCAGUACUACUGUUCCUACCCCCUUGAAUUUAAAGCUAGAUGCAGUAGGGGGACUGAACACAACUUCCUUACGAGAACAAUCAAUACUAGCAUGAUUAGUAGCUAGCCAAUCCAUACCUAAAAUUACAUCAAAGUCACACAUAUCUAAUACCAACAAGGUUACGUCCAGCACACGACCAGCUAUCUCAAUUUCACAUGCUUUAAUCUUUUCCUUAGACAACAUAAUUUCUCCAGACGGUGUAGACACUGACAAAACAUAGUCUAAGGGUUCCAUCUAAGCAUGCAUGCAUCACAAAAAGCGAUGAAAUAAAUGAAUGAGAAGAUCCCGAGUCAAACAAGGUCAAGGCAAAAUGCCCUAACACUGGUAAUGUACCUGUCACUAUUGUGCCGACCUUCUCUGCCUCUGAUCUAUUAGUGGCAAAGAUUGUACCACGCUGUGGAGGUCUCUCUCCCUGACUGCUCGAUCCAGCCCAGUAGAUCUCAAGGGACACCUAUCAGCCAUGUGUCCCUCUUGCUUGCACUUAUAACAGACUCUCGUUCCAUCAAACAACGACCCAGGUGGCGUUUCCCACAUGUAUUACAUACUGGCCUCUCUCGAGUAGUGUCUCCUGCACCGCCAGAACUCUGCUGGAAACUGCGAAAAGGAUCGCCUGGUCUCAAGUUCCUCUGAGGAACUCCUACAGUUCUCUACUCUACUUUUCUCUUUUGACCCGACGACGAUCCCUUAUCAAAGCUCCUUGGCUGUAUUUCAUCAUUCCCAAUGCUCAUAUCCACUGUCAGACGCAGUGCUUCAGCUUGGGUAGUGGGCUUUAGUGCUCGCACAAAGCCCCUAAUUUCAUCUCUCAAUCCCUUGACGAACCUAUCAGCUCUAGCCUGCUCAUUACUAACAAGCUCAGGGGCAAAACGUGACAGCAUAUCAAACUCCUGGUCGUACUCCUCGACUGUCAUAUAUCCUUGCUUCAACUCCAAGAAUUCCUGGCUUUUGGCGUCUCUAAGGUUAGCCGAGAAAAACUUGGUAUAGAACAGUCCUUAAACUGAUCCCAGGUAAUUUGCCUCAAUCUCCACCUAGCAUGCGCAUUGUAGUCCCCACCAGAUAAUGCCUCUGUCCCUCAGUAGAAAACAGCACACUGAACUCUGUGCUCCUCGGGACAUCUCAUGUAAUUAAAUAUGGUUUCCACAGAGGACAACCACAUUUCAGCUUUAGUAGGAUCCUCCAGUGACCCAUCAAACGUCUGAGGGUCAUACUUCUGAAAGUCCCUCAAAUGUUUCGCCUCAGCAGAAAGUUGGUUCGGUAAUCCUUGUGCACGAGGGGCUGCAGUGCAGGGGGAACUACAGGUGCAGUGGAACCGCAGGUUCCUGCUGGUUUUGAGCUAUAGCUGUCAUAAGUUUUGUAAACCUCUGCUCCAUGUGAGCAGACAGUGCAUCAAACUCAACGUGAGUCACGGGUGCAGCAGGAAUUCGCUGUUCAGCUUGACCCUCAGUAGGCUGAUUACGACCUGCGCCUCUACCUCGACCUCCUACUCCUCUACCUCGCCUCUACGACCUCCUCUACGUACACCCUCCUUGGCGGCAUAAUUCCUAUUAUCCACCAACAACACUCUUUAACAAAAUCUUAAUCAUAAGCAUAAGCAAGUCUUUAUCGUCAUGCAAUCUAGUUUAAUUUAGGCAAGGUCAUGCAAAUAAACCAUACAUAUAAGCAUCAAGCAUACCUGACGAGAGACGAAGGGUCGCGUUAGCCAUAGGAACACAAAAACAUAGACUUACAUCGUAAGUCAGUCUACAGAACCUAAAACUUAGGCUCUGAUACCAACUGUAACGACCAACUUUCUAUGUAAGUCGAGGUCGUUAUUAUUUUUUUUACACCUCACAAGAACCCAUAAGUGGAAGCAAAAACACGUUUCCUAUAGCAUCACGCUUCCUUCCUGCCCCUCGCCUGUUUGGCGCCUUUAUUACCUUUGCCUGAAAAUUAAACAUAAGAAGGGUUAGUAUUUAAAUACUCAGUAAGAGACCCUCUACUGGUCUCGUCAGGGGAAAAUAAAUUGUUAAAGUUCUAUUGGGACACCCUGUACAGUCGCAGUCUUGUGAUCCCGUAGGAUACACAUCUCAGUCUAACGCCUCGAGGGACGUACAUAUCAGUCUAACGCCCCGAGGGACGUACAUAUCAGUCUAGUGUUCUGCAGAAACACAUAUCAGUCAAAUGCUCCCGAAGGUGCACAAUAAAUUGGUGAUCCCGUGGGACACCUACAAGGUAAACAUCCCAAUACAAUCUAAAAAUUUUCCCCUCAUUCCAUUCAACCCAUCUUUCAGUUACUUCAAGUCACAAAGUUCUUUCUUUCAACAUCCUAACAGUCAACUUAUUUUACUACAGUCAUAUGUCUGUCAAUAAUAUGCUAAUACAUCAGUCAAUCCACUAUACAGUCAAUGCACCCCUCAGUUCACCAGCACACAGUCAUACUUUAGCGUAAUCAUACACCCAAUCUAAACGAGAAUCUCAUACAAACACAAUCUACAAUCUCCGUCCUGUCCAUAUACACACAUUUAUAUAUAGAUUCCAUGACAAUCACGACAUACAUUCGACGUCAAGUCUACUUCAAUUCAUAUACAUUCAUAUAUAUUUUCAGUCAACCCACAGUAUACAUUCAACACACAUACAGUUCACAAUCACAGUUCACAAUCACAAUUGAGUCCAGUAGAAAAUCCCUUACCUCGAUUUUAUGUAAAAUUUCUUGGUCGAACUAAUUCCAACAAACAAACCCCAAAGAGUAAAGAAUCGAAUUCCAACAAAGCUUAAGGCGUAACUCAAGGACAGUAACUCCAAAUCACCGAUGUCGCCUUCAAGAACAAACAUCAAUUCAACCAAUUAAACAAACAUCACAUCUUAAUGUAUUUACAAAUGUAAAACCUUAUUACCCAACAAUCUCAUCCUUACCAAUAACUUAUAACAAGACUUUGACAAUCAACGUUAAAAUAGAAGUUGCCGCAGCAGGAUCUACACAAAAGAAAUCGUGCAAACAAAUCUGCACGCGAAUCGGUCCACAAUUCGUAAAUGGACAGCGAGUAUCGACGAAGACAGAAUGGUUCGGACGUUCAACAGCAGUUACGCGCGGACGGGAGUAGCCCGGCAACGUAGCCGAACUCGUACGAUGCGGCGUGACCUGCGUCGGCGAGGCUGUUCGUGACUGAGGCGUGCGAUUUGCCUCGCGAACGGAGAUAGAGACGACGGCUGGGUUGGCUUCGACGGAGACAGGUGUUGCGCGGCAAAACUGGGCAGAGGCGGAAGAGCAACGGCAGUAACAGGUGGAUGGUCGUGGCAGUUUCGAUCCGAAGGAGAAAGAAAACGACCGGAAAGAAAAUAAGGGCGGCGGUUCCCGGGCUGCGACGCAGAUCUGGAUCAGACAGUUACGCGGCGGCUGCUGCAAGGCUGCUUCGCGAACGGAGAUGGAGAACGGAGUGGAGAAGAUGGAUAGGGGUCGCGGUCGCACGGGGAAGAAGAAGGGAGAAAAGAAAAGAAAAAGAAAAGAAGAAAAGAAGAGAAAAAAAUAAAGAAAUUUUUUAAUAUUAAAAUAAAAAUAAUAUAUAUAUAUAUAUAUAUAUAUAUAUAUAUAUAUUUACCUUUUCUUUGGGCAUUACAUAAUAUUACUUUAAUAGAAUUUAAUCCAUAUUUUCAUAGAAUAUUUAAUAAAUGAAAAUCUUAAACGUGGUUCACUUUUCUUUUUAUUUUUAAUAAUAUUAUUAAUAAUAAAAAGAGUAAAUUGGUUUAGAGGAUAUGCUACGAGCUUGUGUUAUAGAGAAUAUCAUACAUACAUAUUAACAUAUAUAUAUAUAUAUAUAUUUAGUUUUUAAAAUAAAGCAAUUCAGUUCGGUUUGAGAAUCGGUUCUUAACAUCUUAAACUGAACCGAACCGAAUUUUUAUGUGGUUUUUUUUAAAUAGAAAUCGAAUCGAACCGAACCAUAUGCAUUCGAUUUCGGUUCGAUUAGUGAUUCGAUUCAGUUUUCAACUUCAUUUUGAACACCCCUAUUACAGAUACUAGAGAAUAACAAAUAUUUUAAUGACAUAUAUUACAUAUACUCAUCAUAAUUAUUUCUCAUUCAUGUUCUUGUAAACAUAAACAACUUUCAUAUAUAAUUAAUAUUAUUUCAAACAUAAUGUAUUAUUUACUACGUAAGAUAUGAAUACUUAAAUAAAAUAAAUAAAUAAAUUGAUAUAAGAACAUUUCACUAAUAAAAUAUACAUUAUAUUAUUCAAUAUAUACUAUAAUUAUAUAAAAAUAUAUGAAAAAGAAUGCAAAAUAAAAAAUGACAAUUUUUUAAUAAAAUCAUAAAAAGCAAACUAAGGACAAUUUUUAUUAUUAAUAUUACUUUAAUAGAAUUAAUCCAUAUUUUCAUAGAAUAUUUAAUAAAUGAAAAUCUUAAACGUGGUUCACUUUUCUUUUUAUUUUUAAUAUAUUAUUAAUAAUAAAAAGAGUAAAUUGGUCAUUUUUACUCUAUAUUUGUAUAAAAUAUUAGUCAAUUUAUGAUAUUUUUGAAAAUUUUAAAAAAUUUAUUGCAAUUAAUUUUGUAACAUGGUAUACAAUUUUGAGUACACUUAGAUAAAAAUUCAAAAGAAAAAAAAUUUCACAUUAUAUAAGAUCAAGUCUAAACGGUAUAAAUUGAACCGCUGUUAAAACCGAAUAAACAAACCACACCAUUUAUGUACAAAACAAAAAACACAGUUUGUUGCUGGCUCAAAUAGUCCAAACCGAAUUUAAAUGGUUCGGCGUCUAUUUCAGCUUCAGUCUUCUGGAUUCAAGGAAAUUUUGAUCUUCCAAGUCUUCAAUAUUUCAGGAGAUGAUGAUCUCGAAGUUGAUAAAGAACUUGCACGUCUUGAGAGCUCUAUAGAAGUUUGAAUCUUCAAUUCUUCAAAGCUUCUGUACUUCAGAGCUUCAUUUCUUCCUUCAACAAAAGAUCUCUCGAAUGAAUGACAAAGGUCUCUAUUUAUAGAGAAAAUUUUGUGGACUUUAUGUGGGCUUGGACCCAUUUGCUUGUUGAGUUGUUGAGCUUGGACUUGGGCUUGGGCCCAUUUUCUUAGUGGGCUUAGGCCCCUUUAUUUGGCCUGAUUUUUUUAUCAGGGGCUUGAAUUGGGUUGGAAAACUUGACUACCCAAAUCCAAUCAAAUUAUAAUCAUCACAACUUGGGUGUGACGACGUGGUGUAAUUUCAUUGGUUGAAAUUUCUUGCUCAACAAUUACAUUUAUACUACUCCAUAAUACAUAUAUAUGUUGUUAGUCAUAUAAAAACAUUUACUGUAACGACCCAACUUUUCUAAGUAAGUCGAGGUCGUUAUUUUUUUUUUUUCAAAUAAAGACUUUGUUUAAUAUAAAACAAAACGUAAGCAAUUUAAAAAAAACAUCUUCAAGUCAGGCCUGAUUUUUAAAACAUUCAUAAAAUAAUACUAUUUACAACAAACGUUUGUAAACUAAAUUUCAAUCCAUUUUAAACCUCUCAAGAACCCAUAAGCAGAAGCAAAAACACGUUUCCUAUGGCAUCACGUUUCCUUCCUGCCCCUCGCCUGUUUGCCGCCUUUAUUACCUUUGCCUGAAAAUUAAACAUAAGAAGGGUGAGUAUUUUAAAUACUCAGUAAGAGACCCUCUACUCGUCUCGUCAGGGGAAAAUAAAUUGUUAAGUUCUAUUGGGUCAUCCUGUACAGUCGCAGUCUUGUGAUCCCGUAGGAUACACAUCUCAGUCUAACGCCCCAAGGACGUACAUAUCAGUCUAACGCCCCGAGGGACGUACAUCUCAGUCUAACGCCCGAGGGACGUACAUAUCAGUCUAACGCCCGAGGGACGUACAUAUCAGUCUAGUGUUCUGCAGAAACACAUAUCAGUCAAAUGCUCCGAAGGUGCACAAUAAAUUGGUGAUCCCGUGGGACACCUACAAGGUAAACAUCCCAAUACAAUCUAACAAUUUAUCCCUUCAUUCCAUUCAACCCAUCUUUCAAUUACUUCAAGUCACAAAGUUCUUUCUUUCAACAUCCUAACAGUCAACUUAUUUUACUACAGUCAUAUGUCUGUCAAUAAUAUGCUAAUACAUCAGUCAAUCCACUAUACAGUCAAUGCACCCCUCAGUUUCCAGCACACAGUCAUACUUUAGCGUAAUCAUACACCCAAUCUAAACGAGAAUCACAAGUUCAUAUCUACAUCUCAUACCAACACAAUCUAAAAUCUUCGUCCUGUCCACAUACACACACUUAUAUAUAUGUUCCAUGACAAUCACGAUAUACAUUCGACGUUAAGUCUACUUCAAUUCAUAUGCAUUCAUAUAUAUUUUCAGUCAAACCACAGUAUACAUUCAACACACAUACAGUUCACAAUCACAAUUGAGUCCAGUAGAAAAUCCCUUACCUGGAUCUUUAUGUAAAAUUCCUUAGUCGAACUAACUUCAACAAACAAACCCCAAGAGUAAAGAAUCGAACUCCAACAAAGCUUAAGGCGUAACUCAAGGACACUAACUCCAAAUCACCGAUGUCGCCUUCAAGAACAAAGAUCAAUUCAACCAAUUAAACAACAUCACAUCUUAAUGUAUUUACAAAUGUAAGACCUUAUUACCGAACAAUCUCAUCCUUACCAAUAUCUUGUAACAAGACUUUGACAAUCGACGUUAAAUAGAAGUUGCCGCAGGAUCUACACAAAAGACAUCGUGCAAAACACUUUUGCACGCGAACUGGUCCGCGACGGUGGGUAUCGACGAAGGCAGAACGGUUCGGACGUUCAACAGCAGUUACGCGCGGAUGGGAGUAGCCCGGCAACGUAGCCGAAUUCGUGCGAUACGGCGUGACCUGCGUCGGCGAGGCUGUUCGUGACUGAGGCGUGCGACUUGCCUCGCGGACGGAGAUAGAGACGGCGGGAGACGGUUGCAGAACCGUGGCUUCGACAGAGACAGAACCGGCUGAGACGGUUGGGCAGCGGCGGAAGAGCAACGGCGCCGCAGAUCUGGACUGGCAGCGGCGUGGUCUUGCUUCGCGGCAGGGCUGCGGACGGAAGAAGAAAAUGGAAGGAAAGGAUCGGCGGCUGGCUGCAGUUGGCUGCGGCGCGGACGGGAAGAAGAAGAUAGAGGUGGUGAUUGCGGCUGGGCUGCGGCUGGGCACGAACGGAAGGAGAAGAGGACGGUUAGGGCGGUUGCUGCACGAACGGAGAGAAGGGGAAGGAGGUCGCGGCGCACGGGAGGAAGAAGAAAAGGGAAAAAAAGAAAUUUUCAUUUUCUUUUUCUUUUUAUUUAAAAAAUAUAUAAAAUAAUUAUAAUAAAAAAUAUAUAAAUAUAUAUAUAUAUAUAUAUAUAUAUAUUAUAUAUUAAAUUUUCAUUUUCUUUUCUUUUAUUUAAUAAAAUGUAGAAUAAAUAUAAUAAUAAAAAUAUAAUUAAAUACAUAUAUAUUUAAUUAUAUUAAUACAUUUUCAAAUCUUCUUUCUCCCCUUCAACAUAUUUAAAAAAAAAAUCUUGAACAAAUCGAAAUAAUUCUCUCAAAAUAAUUUACCUUCAAGUUUGGGGCGUUACAUUCUUCCCUCCUUAAGAAACUUUCGUCCUCGAAAGUUCUAAUCCUGAAAUAACUCUGGAUAACGAGUCCUCAUCUCUUCCUCUCGCUCCCAUGUCGCCUCUUUAAUUCGAUGAUUCCGCCACAAAACCUUUACUAAUGGAAUGCUUCUAUUACAAAGCAUCUUUACCUCUCUAGCCAGAAUCUCCACAGGUUGUUCUACAUAGCUCAAAUGAUCAUCAAUCUCCAAGGGUUCAUAGUCCACUACAUGAGAUGUAUCGGCCACAUACUUCCUCAACAUCGAAACAUGGAAAACAUUAUGAACUGCAGAGAGUGAUGGUGGUAAUGCCAAGCGAUACGCCACAACACCAACCCUCUCUAAGAUCUCAAAUGGUCCAACAAAACGAGGACUUAACUUCCCUUUCUUCUCAAAAAUCAUAACACCCUUCAUAGGUGCUACCUUCAAGAAUACCUUUUCUCCCACAUCGAACUUAAGGUCUUUUCGCCGUACAUCUGCAUAACUCUUCUGUCUACUCUGCGCUGUUUGCAUACGUGCUCUAAUCUUUUGAAUAGCCUCAUUAGUAGACCGAACUAAUUCAGGUCCCAUCAACCUAUGUUCACCAACCUCACUCCAACAAACAGGGGUUCUACAACAUUUGCCAUACAAAGCCUCAAAUGGUGCCAUACCGAUGGUAGCCUUGAAACUGUUGUUAUAAGCAAACUCCAUCAAAUGUAGAUGAGAGUCCCAACUACCUGGAAACUCUAUAACACAAGCUCGUAGCAUAUCCUCUAAAACUUGGUUCAAACGUUCAGUUUGACCAUCAGUCUGUGGAUGAAAGGCUGUACUAAAAUCCAAUCUCGUACCCAUAGCAGUCUGAAGUCCCUUCCAAAACUUGGAAGUAAACCGUGCACCCUAUCAGAAACAAUCGAUACAGGCACUCCAUGCAGUCUCACAAUCUCAGUUAAAUACAACUCUGCCCACUUACUAGCAGUAUAAGUGGAUUUUCCUGGUACAAAAUGUGUCGAUUUCGUAAGCCUGUCUAUGACAACCAAAAUCACUGUGAAACCCUUCAGGGUCUUAGGCAGCCCUGAAAUAAAAUCCAUCAACACAUUCUCUCCCACUUCCACUCUUGCACACUUAAGGGUUGUAACAAAC